rnacentral:lncRNA from 1 species
GACGGUCAAGUGGUGUGAUCUUUCAUCCUAAAAAUUGGGGCCAAUGGUCUCUUCUCAAGGCAGAGCUAAGACUCCUCUUAAAUCGAUAAUUGUGUACUUUAAAACAAUUAGCAAUAAACAUCGCUUUUCUUGAAAGUUGAUCUAAAUGUCGUAUUACAUUUUUAGCCAUCAACGGUUCUUCUAAUUGUGAAGUUUUUCUUAGAUUUCAUUCUAUCUUAUGUUCGUUACGCUAAACAGGUGAAGUUGAGCAUCCUGAUUAAAGCUUUCCUUUAUAUUACAAGAUCGGCAUAUUACGAAUGUAUGCCUUUUAAAGGUCAAUGUACUAUCGAAUUGGAUUCUUGUGGCGUAAAAUGCUGCUCUCCUUACCUCUCCUUGUCAGAAGUCUGUGAGUAAGCAUUUUAAUUCCUGCUUCCAAAUUAUGAUAAGUAAACAAAUUCAAUUAAAAAAUCUGAUAUGUUCUGUAUAAUUUUGUUGCCUGCUUUCAAGUUAUAAUGCUAAUAUAGGCUUCUUCUUUAUUCUUCAGGCUAUGGCAAGCAGCUACUGGACUGUAAAACUUUCUUACGGACCUCGAUGGAUGACAUUAUUUGUUAGCAUAUGUACAUUCCUCUAUCAAAUAAUUGUAAGAGUAAAUAAAAAAUUUAUGAAUUUUUUUGUGAUUUUCUUUUUCGCGUGUAGUUGGAACGAAUAUUCCGUGUGGACAUUGUGUGGCUUGUUUUUCAUGCCUCACAAAGUAAUUCUUUGUCUCCAUGUUUGGCACGGAAACGUGUUUACUUCUUUUUCUUCUUUAAUACUGUCCUAUUAACCUUAUCGAACACACCAUAUAAAAUUUUAAUGCGUCAUUUGGUUUAGAUUUUUGUGGCUUAUAUGCAGAAAAGCUUGAUUUUUUGGAUUACGAAGAAACUAUUGAGGAUUGCAUUCCGUUUUUUCACUAUAAAUUGCUAUCACAUCGGCAUUAUGGUCUUAGUAUUAAUUCCAACUAAUUUAUGUAUAGCAUUGAUUUGAAUUUUGCAGAAUUUCAGAGGCCACCAAAAUUUACCCAAUAUGCCAAUAGACAGGUGAAGUAAGUGAGGAAGCUAUUCAUGGUUUCAGCACCAUUCAAGGUUUCGUUGCAUGGGCAUAUUUCAGUGCAAGGUCCUUGCAUUAGAGAAUUCUACCAGAUCUUGGAACAUUUCACCAUGGAGACAUUGAUACAUCUUGGACAAGUUUGCAGAAGUUUGAACUUUUUGUCUUCGCGUCAUGUUUGGACCAAAUAUUGUGUUGACUCAGUAUAGAAUUGUCUUUUCAAUUUCAAGAAAUCAACUCAACUCGUGUCUCGUGUAGGCUGGUUUGACAUCAUAUUGCCAAUUGAUAAAGGAAUGAAAAUUGGAACUUGAACUUGUCAUGUACAAAUACAAACGUACAUGGAGUGUUAAGAUGAGAAAAAUUAUUUAUAAG